CAGCAGCCGCGGUAAUACGGGGGGUGCGAGCGUUGUUCGGAAUUAUUGGGCGUAAAGAGCGUGUAGGCGGCUGGAUAAGUCAGAUGUGAAAGCCCUGGGCUUAACCCAGGAAGUGCAUUUGAAACUGUCCGGCUGGAGUAAGGGAGAGGAAAGUGGAAUUCCUGGUGUAGAGGUGAAAUUCGUAGAUAUCAGGAGGAACACCGGUGGCGAAGGCGACUUUCUGGCCCUAUACUGACGCUGAGACGCGAGAGCGUGGGUAGCAAACAGGAUUAGAUACCCUGGUAGUCCACGCUGUAAACGAUGUUCACUAGGUGUUGGGGGUAUUGACCCCCUCAGUGCCGCAGCUAACGCAUUAAGUGAACCGCCUGGGGAGUACGGUCGCAAGAUUAAAACUCAAAGGAAUUGACGG
rnacentral:rRNA from 1 species